GACGAACGCUGGCGGCGUGCUUAACACAUGCAAGUCGAGCGAUGAAGCUCCUUCGGGAGCGGAUUAGCGGCGGACGGGUGAGUAACACGUGGGUAACCUGCCUCAUAGAGGGGAAUAGCCUUACGAAAGGAAGAUUAAUACCGCAUAAUGUUGAAAGAUGGCAUCAUCAUUCAACCAAAGGAGCAAUCCGCUAUGAGAUGGACCCGCGGCGCAUUAGCGAGUUGGUGGGGUAACGGCCUACCAAGGCGACGAUGCGUAGCCGACCUGAGAGGGUGAUCGGCCACAUUGGGACUGAGACACGGCCCAGACUCCUACGGGAGGCAGCAGUGGGGAAUAUUGCACAAUGGGGGAAACCCUGAUGCAGCAACGCCGCGUGAGUGAUGAAGGUUUUCGGAUCGUAAAGCUCUGUCUUUGGGGAAGAUAAUGACGGUACCCAAGGAGGAAGCCACGGCUAACUACGUGCCAGCAGCCGCGGUAA
rnacentral:rRNA from 1 species